rnacentral:rRNA from 1 species
CUACCUACGGGAGGCAGCAGUGAGGAAUAUUGGUCAAUGGCCGGGAGGCUGAACCAGCCAAGUCGCGUGAGGGAAUAAGGCCCUAUGGGUCGUAAACCUCUUUUGUCAGGGAGCAAAGGCGUCCACGAGUGGACGAAAGGAGAGUACCUGAAGAAAAAGCAUCGGCUAACUCCGUGCCAGCAGCCGCGGUAAUACGGAGGCUGCGAGCGUUAUCCGGAUUUAUUGGGCGAAAAGGGAACGCAG